AAGAUUGUCUUGGCAUUUCAACCUUCUUUUAAUGGGAUGAGAGGAAAGCAUUAAAUGAUGCCUCUUUGCAAAGUAACGUCUGUGUUAGAAUCGUAGAACCCUAGGGUGUCAGAGCCCAUCAAUCUAGUCAGCCCCUUGUACAGAUGGGGUUACUGAGGCACAGAUAAGAAGGUACUGUGACUUGCCCAAGGCCACGUGGCUUGAAUCACCCUUGUGAAAGGAAUUUUUAUAUCUUGUUGCUAUCUUUGAGCUCUUCCCAAGGGGGCUAACCUUGCUCAGGGACUUCUCCAAUUACCCGUCAUCUCUCUUGGGUGCUGUAAUUGGGAGCCAGGAGAGAUGGCAGAGCUGGCAGCUGCAGAGGACCCCCAGUAGAAGGUAUGCGCAGGGAGGGGCGUCCCAGGUGGUGCCUUUGCGUGAUUCCUUGCCUCAGAGCUGAACUGGUUGGUCCUUCUGCCUUUUGUUCCCUCCUGUCAUGGCUGUCUUGCCCCAGCUCCAAGCAGCUGUCCACUUAACCAGUACUUACUGGGUAGAAGUGGUCAUCAUCAUAGCAUUAAGUAAUUACAUUUACUGUAUGUACACCAGGCACUGGCCUAGCACUUUGCCUAUAUUAAACCCCUCAGUCUUCACAAUACCCCAUAAGUUAAGUGCUAUUAUUAACAUUAUCCCUCUUUUACAGAUGAGGAAGCUGAGGCUCAAAGAGGUUGUAUGACUUGCCCAAAUUCAGGCAGCUUAUAAAUGAGAAUCAGGAUUUGAAACCAGGCAGUCUGGCUCCAGAGCAGUGACCUCUCUAGGAUUGAUUCCCCCUCACGUUGGCUCAAGGGACAGGAAUUCACUGCACAGUAACCUCAGAUGAAGAAAUGGGACAGGGACAUGACCAGAGAGGCAGUCAGUGAGCUGUGGAGCCCCAGCUGGACUCCUGCCUGGAGAGCUUGGCCUUCCCCUGUCCCGGGCUGCCUCCCUCAUCUUCCAGCUUCCCCGGGACACCACCUUCAUUUUCAUCUAUGAAGUGGCAACUUGAAAUAGAUCUGUGUCAGUCUCUCCAGCUGCUCGUCUUGGAUGACCUUGGCCUUCUCGUACUGCUGGA